UUAUAUCGACGCGGUUCACCUCCUCCCGAGCCGCCACGAUCAGACGGACAGCACUCCUCGUCCCAGCUGUCGGUCACAUUCAAGAGCCCGGUGCACCUCCUCCCGCACCGGGCUUUUUUC
rnacentral:sRNA from 1 species